CCGGCUGGCUCGCGCUGCGACGCGACGCGCUCUGUCCUCUGUCUGCAACCACUGUGCGCCCGUCUCGUCCACUGUGCGCCCCGUGUGUGUUCGUGCGACGCCGUGCGCCGCUCCUCGCGAAGCAUUUCUUCCUACCGACAGAAUGUGCAACCGAAUCGGCACUGCAACCCUUUAGUUCGAGCUACAAGGUCUCCCGCUCACCGUUUGUGUCAGAUGCCAAUAUCGAAGCAGAAGUGACUGCCGCCGCAAAGUACCAACAAAACCAAUAACUCCCUUCAGGUGCAUAGCUGGCAGUACCUGAAUGAGAUGAGGCACAAGUCAGAGGUUGGUAAGGCGAGUGAAAGUGGUGCGGCAGCAGAAGGGGAGAGAAUAGACAGCCGUGUCGGUGCCAUACGUCGCCUUACAAGGAGAACGCUCUGACGGGCGGCCAUAAAGCGGCGGCAGCUGACACUGCUCCCGUUACGCGACAUUCGUUCGGUGGCUGUCGCUGAUCGAACCAAUGUAUCCCGCCUUCAGCAUCAACACAGUUCUCAAUACACCACUGCCUGCUCACAAAACUAGAAGAAGUGCCAUAUGAUACUAGUUUGUAACUUGUCAAUCGCUACUUUCUGUAAGGGAGACAGGGGCUAGUUGGCAAGGAUUUUGAGUUCUGAUUUGUAAUUUGUUGUUUUAUUUAUUUUUUGUUAUUUUAUUAUUUUUGUGCAAUUCUUGCAGGGAUUCUGGUGAAUGCAGCGAAUACCUUAGCUUUUUGACCACAAAAUACUAUAGGAAGAACAAAUUCUUCAAAAAAUAAAUUCAUUGUGAAGAAAAUAAUACUUGAAAGUAAAUUUUACUUGCAUGCAAUAUGAACUUAAA